UACGGAAGGCAGCAGUGGGGAAUAUUGCACAAUGGGCGAAAGCCUGAUGCAGCUAUGCCGCGUGUAUGAAGAAGGCCUUAGGGUUGUAAAGUACUUUCAUCGGGGAGGAAAAAACAAAACUAAUAAUUUUAUUUCUUGACGUUACCCGAAAAAGAAGCACCGGCUAACUCCGUGCCAGCAGCCGCGGUAAUACGGAGGGUGCUAGCGUUAAUCAGAAUUACUGGGCGUAAAGAGCACGUAGGUGGUUUUUUUAAAGUCAGAUGUGAAAUCCCUGGGCUUAACCUAGGAACUGCAUUUUGAAACUGAAAUACUAGAGUAUCGUAGAGGGAGGUAGAAUUCUAGGUGUAGCGGUGAAAUGCGUAGAUAUCUGGAGGAAUACCUGUGGCGAAAGCGGCCUCCUAAACGAAUACUGACACUAAGGGUGCGAAAGCGUGGGGAGCAAACAGGGAUUAGAUACC
rnacentral:rRNA from 1 species